rnacentral:rRNA from 1 species
CGGCCUACGGGGGGCAGCAGUGAGGAAUAUUGGUCAAUGGCCGGAAGGCUGAACCAGCCAAGUCGCGUGAGGGACGACUGCCCUAUGGGUUGUAAACCUCUUUUAUAAGGGAAGAAUAAAUGCUACGUGUAGCAUGAUGCCUGUACCUUAUGAAUAAGCAUCGGCUAACUCCGUGCCAGCAGCCGCGGUAAUACGGAGGAUGCGAGCGUUAUCCGGAUUUAUUGGGUUUAAAGGGUGCGGAGGCGGUUUUUUAAGGUAGUGGUUAAACGUGCGUGCUUAACCUUGAUUUCACAUUAAUACUGUAA